UACGUAGGGAGCAAGCGUUGUCCGGAAUCAUUGGGCGUAAAGCGCGCGUAGGUGGCUCUAUAAGUCCGUUGUGAAAGUCAAAGGCUCAACCUUUGAAAGCCGAUGGAUACUGUAGAGCUAGAGUCCGGAAGAGGCGAGUGGAAUUCCUGGUGUAGCGGUGGAAUGCGCAGAUAUCAGGAGGAACACCAAUAGCGAAGGCAGCUCGCUGGGACGUGACUGACGCUGAGACGCGAAAGCGUGGGGAGCGAACAGG
rnacentral:rRNA from 1 species